rnacentral:rRNA from 1 species
GGACCCGAUACACAUACGCCAUCUGGGGAAUGGCUAGGCUUGGGCGCCGAAGAAGGCCGUGACAAGCUGCGAUAAGCCCCGGGUAGAUGCAAGUAGUUUUUGAUCCGGGGAUCGCCGAAUGGGACCUCCUACCGACGGCUAAUAACCGUUCGGUGUUCCAAUUAUGGAACGGGAACCCCCCGAACUGAAACAUCUCAGUAGGGGGCGGAAAAGAAACCAAAUGGGAUUCCCUCAGUAGGGGCGACCCAAAAGGGAACAAGGGCAAACCGAACCCGCCAUGGAAACAUGGUGGGGAUGUGGAUUUGCAGGGUCCUGCCACCACUUCGCCAGAGAAGCCGAAGGAGCCUGGAACGCCUCACCGCAGAGGGUGAUAGUCCCGUAGGCGUAAUCUGGAAAGUGCCGGGCGGGUUCUCCUGAGUACCAUGGAUCGGAUAUUCCGUGGGAAGCUGGGAGCCACCAACUUCCAACCCUAAAUACGUCCCAAGACCGAUAGCGCACUAGUACCGUGAGGGAAAGUUGAAAAGCACCGCGGAAGCGAAGUGAAAAGUGCCUGAAACCAGGUGGCUAUUAACCGUACAUGGCUCAAAAGGAUAGAUCCUCCCCGAAGGAACCUCCGGCGACGAAGUAGUACUAGGGGAGGGGACCAGAGUCAUGUGAUCCGUCUAGAAACACGGGCCGGGGAGUUCAUAAUUGUGGCAAGCCUAAAAGGUUCAACCUUGCAGGCGUAGGGAAACCAACAAGCCCGCAACCAGCUCGACUGGCCAGGGGCGGGGUCUUAAUAGGGCCCGGAGUCACAGUUAUGAGACCCGAAACCAGACGAUCUAGCCCUGAGCAGGGUGAAGCCAGGGGAAACCUUGGUGGAGGCCCGAAAAGAUUCUGACGUACAAUUCGUUCUCAUGACUUGGGGCUAGGGGCAAAAGACUAAUCUAGUCUGGUGAUCGCUGGUUCCCCCCGAAGAAGUUCGCAGACUUGUCUGGCGGGAGGUAGCUGGAGGGGUAGAGCACCGAUUGGAAAGCAGGGAGCCGCGAGGCUUCACUUUCCUCUCGAACUCCGAAUCUUCCAGCGCCGCAGAACGCCGGAAACGGGCGCCAGGGGGUAAGCUUCUGGGCCGAGAGGGGAACAACCCUGACUGAGGUUAAGGUCCUCAAGUGCCAGCUAAGUGUUAAACCGAAGAGCGUCCGUUGCCAAAAACAGUGGGAAGGUAGGCUUAGAAGCAGCCAUCCUUAAAAAAGUGCGUAACAGCUUACCCACCGAGGUAACGGGCCUCGAAAAUGGACGGGGCUAAGCUGGCCAUCGAGACCUCAGGGCACGGUCAGAAAACCGUGAUCCGGUAGGGGGGCGCGUCGAUUGGGCAGAAGCAGGGUUGUAAAGUCCUGUGGACCGAUCGAUGUUGCAGAUCCCGGCGGUAGUAACAGCAUAGUCGGGUGAGAAUCCCGACCACCGAAAGGGCCAGGGUUCCUCGGCAAUGCGUCGUCAGCCGAGGGUAAGUCGAUCCUAAAGCUAAACCUAACUCGUGAAGCUGAAAGGGAAACCGGUUUAUAUUCCGGUACCGCGGAGGUACACGUGGCGACACAAGCCCAGCUUCUGACACUUCAGGGUAGGUCGAGCGGAGCCGUCGCUUCGUUUAAACGUAUAAACCUGGGGAGAGCCGUAAUGGCGAGAACCAGGCGAAACCGCGAAUAGUCCCCCGAUUUUAGGGGGGUUCGAUCAAGCUCUGGAGUCCGUGAAAAGGAAGCUGGGAUGGAUCCCCCGCGACCGUACCUAGAACCGACACAGGUGCCCCUAGGUGAGUAUCCUAAGGUGUAUCGGAAUCAACCCAGGCAAGGGAAAUCGGCAAAUUAGCCCCGUAACUUCGGGAUAAGGGGUGCCUGGAGUCUUCAGGUAAUACUGGGGAAACCAGGUCGCAGUGACCAGGGGGGCCGGACUGUUUAAUAAAAACACAGCUUUCCGCUAGCCCGAAAGGGUUCGUACGGAAGGUGAAUCCUGGCCAGUGGCGGUCCGUCAAAACCGAGUCCAAUCGGUCGAAGCGCCGCUAAACGCCGGGAGUAACUAUGACUCUCUUAAGGUAGCCAAAUGCCUUGCCGGAUAAGUACCGGCGUGCAUGAAUGGAUCAACAAGGUCCCCACUGUCCCUGCCUGGUGUCCGGUGAACCCACUUAACCUAGCGAACAGUCUAGGGACCCCCAACGGGGAGAGAAGACCCUGUGGAGUUUUACUGCAGCCUGUGCCUGUGGCAUGGUUAUGAACUCAUAGCGUAAAUGGGAGCCGCUAAUACCAGCCUCUUCGGGGGUUGGAGUAGGCGAUAAUGGAACACCAUUAGCUCGUGGCUAUGCCUCUAACCAGCGCCCCUGAGCGCUGAGACAAGUAUAGGUGGGCAGUUUGGCUGGGGCGGCACGCCCCUGAAAAAGUAUCAAGGGCGCCCUAAGGUCGGCUCAGGCGGGUCAGAAACCCGCCAUAGAGGGCAAGGCCAAAAGCCGGCCUGACUGCAUCCUGGACAACAAGGGAUGCAGGAGCGAAAGCUGGGCCUAGCGAUCCUUCAUGUCCCCACUGGUGGGGGCUGGAGGUGACAGAAAAAUUACCCCAGGGAUAACAGAGUUGUCACGGGCAAUAGCUCACAUAGACCUCGUGGCUUGCUCCCUCGAUGUCGGCUCUUCCUAUCCUGGCCGUGCAGCAGCGGCCAAGGGUGAGGCUGUUCGCCUAUUAAAAGGGAACGUGAGCUGGGUUUAGACCGUCGUGAGACAGGUCGGAUUCUACCUGUUGGGGGUGUUGGUUGCCUGAGGGCAGGGAACCCUCAGUACGAGAGGAACGGGGUGCCGCGGCCUCUAGUUUACCGGUUAUCCGAUAGGGUACUGCCGGGCAGCCACGCCGUAACCAAUAAGGGCUGAAAGCAUCUAAGCCCGAAACGGGUCCCGAAAAGAGGCAGCCAUUCUCUAGCUAGGUCUUUAUGGCGCUCGGGGCAGGUGACUGUAACGAGUUGCUAGGGACGAGGACUCCCAUAAAAGAUGGGUUUAAUGGAACCGGGGUGUACGCGCCAAGCUUCGGCGAGGCGUUCAGCCCGCGGUCCCCAACCGUCCGAGUGUGCGGGUCC